UGGGGAAUAUUGCGCAAUGGGCGAAAGCCUGACGCAGCCACGCCGCGUGAGCGAUGAAGGCCUUCGGGUCGUAAAGCUCUGUGGGGAGAGAAGAAGAAAGCCCGUGAAGAGCGGGCCUUGACGGUAUCUCCUUAGCAAGCACCGGCUAAUUCCGUGCCAGCAGCCGCGGUAAUACGGAGGGUGCAAACGUUGCUCGGAAUCAUUGGGCGUAAAGCGCACGUAGGCGGCGAAGCAAGUCGGGUGUGAAAGCCCUGGGCUCAACCCAGGAAGUGCAUUCGAAACUAUUUCGCUUGAAUCUCGGAGGGGGUCAGAGAAUUCCCGGUGUAGAGGUGAAAUUCGUAGAUAUCGGGAGGAAUACCAGUGGCGAAGGCAGCUGACUAAGCAUAUAUUGACGCUGAGGCACGAAAGCGUGGGUAGCGAACU
rnacentral:rRNA from 1 species